rnacentral:rRNA from 1 species
GUGAUUCACCCGUGACCAACCUGCCCCUGACUUUGGGAUAAGCGCUGGAAACGGCCUCUAAUACUGGCUAUGUGACGUGACCGCCUGGUCUGCUUUUGGAAAAAUUUUUCGGUUGGGGAUGGGCUCGCGGCCUAUCAGCUUGUUGGUGAGGUAAUGGCUCACCAAGGCGUCGACGGGUAGCCGGCCUGAUAGGGUGACCGGUCACACUGGGACUGAGACACGGCCCCUACUCCUACGGGAGGCAACGUUGGGGAAUAUUGCGCAAUGGGCGGAAGCCUGAUGCAGCAACGCCGCGUGAGGGAUGACUGCCUUCGGGUUGUAAACCUCUUUUAGCAGGGAAGAAGCGAAAGUGACGGUACCUGCAGAAAAAGCGCCGGCUAACUACGUGCCACCACCCGCGGUAAUACGUAGGGCGCAAGCGUUAUCCGGAAUUAUUGGGCGUAAAGAGCUCGUACGCGGUUUGUCACGCCUGCUGUGAAAUCCCCAGGCUCACCCUCCGGCCUGCAGUGGGUACGGGCAGACUACAGUGCGGUAGGGGAGAUUGGAAUUCCUGGUGUAGCGGUGGAAUGCGCAGAUAUCACGAGGAACACCGAUGGCGAACGCAGAUCUCUGUGCCGUAUCUGACGCUGAGGAGCGAAAGCGUGGGGAGCACACAGGCUUAAAUACCCUGUGNAGUCCACCCCGUAACGUUGGGAACUAGUUGUGUGGGUCCAUUCCACGGAUUCCGUGACGCAGCUAACGCAUUAAGUUCCCCGCCUGGGGAGUACUGCCGCAGGCUAAAACUCAAAGGAAUUGACGGGGACCCGCACAAGCGGCGGAGCAUGCGGAUUAAUUCGAUGCAACGCGAAGAACAUUACUACGCUUGACAUAUACGAGAACGGGCCAGAAAUGGUCAACUCUUUGGACACUCGUAAACAGGUGGUGCAUGGUUGUCGUCAGCUCGUGUCGUGAGAUGUUGGGUUAAGUCCCGCAACGAGCGCAACCCUCGUUCUAUGUUGCCAGCACGUAAUGGUGGGAACUCAUGGGAUACUGCCGGGGUCAACUCGGAGGAAGGUGGGGAUGACGUCAAAUCAUCAUGCCCCUUAUGUCUUGGGCUUCACGCAUGCUACAAUGGCCGGUACAAAGGGCUGCAAUACCGUGAGGUGGAGCGAAUCCCAAAAAGCCGGUCCCAGUUCGGAUUGAGGUCUGCAACUCGACCUCAUGAAGUCGGAGUCGCUAGUAAUCGCAGAUCAGCAACGCUGCGGUGAAUACGUUCCCGGGUCUUGUACACACCGCCCGUCAAGUCAUGAAAGUCGGUAACACCUGAAGCCGGUGGCCUAACCCUUGUGGAGGGAGCCGUCGAA